UUUGUUGCUGGAUGAUAGAAUUUGAUAGAAAAACAAGCUGAAGUGACUCAAGAGUGGGAAUCGGGAUGUUCUCUUCAGCGGUGUCGUGUGGCAGCAAAGGCGCGGAAAAAAUGACUCCUUUCCCCGGCUGUCAGAGCCCGACAGGAAUCCGUUACUUCUCGGGGGUUUGAAAAAAAGGAAAGAGGAAUCAUUGCAAACGCACCUUUCUCCACCUGCGCAGAGGAGAAGCCCCCUGAAACGCACGCCACCUAUCUUCACGGGAGGGGAUAAUUGAGGAGAGCAAAAAAACGUGAGCAUCUUCUGGGUUGAAGUUUUUUUUCUCCCUCCCUCUCCUUCUUCUUUCUCUCUCCCCCUUCUCCUCCUCCCUUUUUCUUUCCCUCACUCUCCUCUCUCUUUCACCAUCUCUUCUGUUUUUUGAGCGAAACCAACUAUGUCGGGGCUUGACGCGGAGAAAAGAACAGGCGACAGUUUUUUUUUUUUUUUUUUUUUUUUUUCCUUUCUUUACUUUUUUAAAAUAUUAUUAUUGGAGGGGAUAAACUUCAUCCUCACCGGCUGCUGUCAUGUAAGGACUGUUUUCUCUAUAUUUAUCCAUUUCCACUGCGUUUAAUUUACAGAAAAGACCGGAUGCCGGAGUUUUCAGCCACAAUUCUUCAUUAUUGUAAUAGGCAGCGACUGCAAAAAGGUUUUGGGGAUGUUCAGUUUCUAUCUACGCUGCAAAAAGUGUCCGUGUGGGGCAUUUUUUUAUUUAUUGUAUAAGUCUUUAUUUUUACUUUAAAAGUAACGUAUUUUAUUUUUAUUGUUAUUAUUUAUUGUGAUUUCUAAUGUUUUAAGAAAAUGAAUGUUAAAAGAAAUCUUUUUAAACGUUACAAAGCGCACUUAGUAAUAUUUUAAUCUGAUUCUGAUGGAAUGAUAGGGUCAGAGAAGUAAAAAUAAAUUAAAUUAAAUUAAAUUAAAUUCAAAAAAGAAUAAAUACUGGUGAUUAAUUUUAAAAAGAGAAAAAGAGCAUCAUGCUCUUUUCUCACCUGUGAUGUACCUGCGCAGCAUCAGCAGGUACACUUAAAAAGGUGUCCACAUAAAAAAACAUAUGUGUAUAUGUACAUUUACAGCCAAAUUCAGGAGACAAUAUAUUCCUAUAUUGAUUUAUUCAUUUUGGGUUUUGCUCAUUUGCCACUAAAUAACCCACUAAAGCCAUCUGAAAAUAAAUAAUGUUGACAUUACACAAGUCUGAGAGCAAUGGCUCAUGUCUGACGGCACUAAAAUGAGCUGAAAAAAUGUGAAAAAUAGCAUGAAGUGAAAUAAAGUGAAGGCAGCGAUGCUGCGGCUUCCCGUAGGGAUAUUACAGGAAAAUUCCAGGGUUAUUAGGAUUUAGUUUUAUUGUUAUUAUUCUUCUUCGUUCUAUACAUAGAAUGAAUUUAUUAAAGAAGUCAACCAUCUCAGCCAUGCCUGACUUGUAACACACACACACAGGGAGAGAGAGAACGAGAGAGAGAGAGAGAGAGAGAGAGAGAGAGAGAGAGGAAGCUCCACCUUUGCGGCGCCCUGAUUGGUUAUGUAAAUAAAGUAUUAUUUUGUGUCCUGUCCUCCUGCAGUUCGCCACUCUAUGGCUAAUUAAAUCAUCAAUCAAGAGGCUGAACUGGCUGAUGCACCCCCCCACCCCCCAACACACCUCCCCCUUAUCAGACAAAAAGAUGCAGCAGAAAAGAAAUGACACAGUGACAAGCUUUUCCUUUCUGCUUGGAGUUUUUGUGCGUUAUUAUUAAAGAAAUGUGUCCUAUAACUUUUCUUCCUCAUUUUUCUCUUUCUGUGACAGCAGGAGUGCUCGGAGGCGCAAAAGUGCCCC